GGGUCUUCUGCGUUUGCUGGCGCCUGCCAGGCGUCGUCUCCGACGUUACGGCGGCCGCGCGGCCCUCUCCCUUGGGCUCUGCCCUGCGCAGCCCUGGUUCGAGCGGGCCAGUGAGGCCCGGCGCCCUCCCCGCCUCGCCACGAGGAUCCACCGCGGCCGCCCAGGCUUCUAGCCUUGUCGUCACGGCACGGAGAUAAGCCCGCGCUGGCCACAUCGCGAAGCCCCUUGCACCGCAGGGAUCCCCACCUGUCCGGUGAGGAAGAUUUGUCCCUCCUGCAUACUGUGUCCACCCUUACAGGCCCUCACUCUCCAUGAUGGCUCAGCACAGGUGACUAUCCUGACCUCCUCACAUCCCUCCUUCUUCGAGAGGGUUCUGGCGUUUCUCUCUGCUCCCUGGUGCGUGUCUUCUCAUGGUGCACUGCCGAGUCCUUUAAGAAGCUAUGCUUCCCUGUCAUGCGUCCAGGACAGCCCCUUGAACCCCUCCUGGGUCCGCAUCUCUCAUCACCCCUGCUUCUUUACGUACUGACUUGGCUUUGUUUGUGCUUUGACUCCCCAGGAGAAAGUGGGCUUCCUGCAAGCGGAGCUGUGCCCAGGACCAUGCCAGCCCACGGCAGGCGCUCAGUAAUGUUUGUUGAAUGAAUGUGUAAAUGCAUGAAGAUAAUAUAUGUAUUUAAUGCAUGUAAA